CCCAGUGUGAUUCGUCACACUAUCAUUAACUGAAUCCAUAGGUUAAUGAGGCGAACCGGGGGAACUGAAACAUCUAAGUACCCCGAGGAAAAGAAAUCAACCGAGAUUCCCCCAGUAGCGGCGAGCGAACGGGGAGCAGCCCAGAGCCUGAAUCAGUGUGUGUGUUAGUGGAAGCGUCUGGAAAGGCGCGCGAUACAGGGUGACAGCCCCGUACACAAAAAUGCACAUGCUGUGAGCUCGAUGAGUAGGGCGGGACACGUGGUAUCCUGUCUGAAUAUGGGGGGACCAUCCUCCAAGGCUAAAUACUCCUGACUGACCGAUAGUGAACCAGUACCGUGAGGGAAAGGCGAAAAGAACCCCGGCGAGGGGAGUGAAAAAGAACCUGAAACCGUGUACGUACAAGCAGUGGGAGCACGCUUAGGCGUGUGACUGCGUACCUUUUGUAUAAUGGGUCAGCGACUUAUAUUCUGUAGCAAGGUUAACCGAAUAGGGGAGCCGAAGGGAAACCGAGUCUUAACUGGGCGUUAAGUUGCAGGGUAUAGACCCGAAACCCGGUGAUCUAGCCAUGGGCAGGUUGAAGGUUGGGUAACACUAACUGGAGGACCGAACCGACUAAUGUUGAAAAAUUAGCGGAUGACUUGUGGCUGGGGGUGAAAGGCCAAUCAAACCGGGAGAUAGCUGGUUCUCCCCGAAAGCUAUUUAGGUAGCGCCUCGUGAAUUCAUCUCCGGGGGUAGAGCACUGUUUCGGCAAGGGGGUCAUCCCGACUUACCAACCCGAUGCAAACUGCGAAUACCGGAGAAUGUUAUCACGGGAGACACACGGCGGGUGCUAACGUCCGUCGUGAAGAGGGAAACAACCCAGACCGCCAGCUAAGGUCCCAAAGUCAUGGUUAAGUGGGAAACGAUGUGGGAAGGCCCAGACAGCCAGGAUGUUGGCUUAGAAGCAGCCAUCAUUUAAAGAAAGCGUAAUAGCUCACUGGUCGAGUCGGCCUGCGCGGAAGAUGUAACGGGGCUAAACCAUGCACCGAAGCUGCGGCAGCGACGCUGAUGCGUUGUUGGGUAGGGGAGCGUUCUGUAAGCCUGUGAAGGUGUGCUGUGAGGCAUGCUGGAGGUAUCAGAAGUGCGAAUGCUGACAUAAGUAACGAUAAAGCGGGUGAAAAGCCCGCUCGCCGGAAGACCAAGGGUUCCUGUCCAACGUUAAUCGGGGCAGGGUGAGUCGACCCCUAAGGCGAGGCCGAAAGGCGUAGUCGAUGGGAAACAGGUUAAUAUUCCUGUACUUGGUGUUACUGCGAAGGGGGGACGGAGAAGGCUAUGUUGGCCGGGCGACGGUUGUCCCGGUUUAAGCGUGUAGGCUGGUUUUCCAGGCAAAUCCGGAAAAUCAAGGCUGAGGCGUGAUGACGAGGCACUACGGUGCUGAAGCAACAAAUGCCCUGCUUCCAGGAAAAGCCUCUAAGCAUCAGGUAACAUCAAAUCGUACCCCAAACCGACACAGGUGGUCAGGUAGAGAAUACCAAGGCGCUUGAGAGAACUCGGGUGAAGGAACUAGGCAAAAUGGUGCCGUAACUUCGGGAGAAGGCACGCUGAUAUGUAGGUGAAGUCCCUCGCGGAUGGAGCUGAAAUCAGUCGAAGAUACCAGCUGGCUGCAACUGUUUAUUAAAAACACAGCACUGUGCAAACACGAAAGUGGACGUAUACGGUGUGACGCCUGCCCGGUGCCGGAAGGUUAAUUGAUGGGGUCAGCGCAAGCGAAGCUCUUGAUCGAAGCCCCGGUAAACGGCGGCCGUAACUAUAACGGUCCUAAGGUAGCGAAAUUCCUUGUCGGGUAAGUUCCGACCUGCACGAAUGGCGUAAUGAUGGCCAGGCUGUCUCCACCCGAGACUCAGUGAAAUUGAACUCGCUGUGAAGAUGCAGUGUACCCGCGGCAAGACGGAAAGACCCCGUGAACCUUUACUAUAGCUUGACACUGAACAUUGAGCCUUGAUGUGUAGGAUAGGUGGGAGGCUUUGAAGUGUGGACGCCAGUCUGCAUGGAGCCGGCCUUGAAAUACCACCCUUUAAUGUUUGAUGUUCUAACGUUGACCCGUGAUCCGGGUUGCGGACAGUGUCUGGUGGGUAGUUUGACUGGGGCGGUCUCCUCCUAAAGAGUAACGGAGGAGCACGAAGGUUGGCUAAUCCUGGUCGGACAUCAGGAGGUUAGUGCAAUGGCAUAAGCCAGCUUGACUGCGAGCGUGACGGCGCGAGCAGGUGCGAAAGCAGGUCAUAGUGAUCCGGUGGUUCUGAAUGGAAGGGCCAUCGCUCAACGGAUAAAAGGUACUCCGGGGAUAACAGGCUGAUACCGCCCAAGAGUUCAUAUCGACGGCGGUGUUUGGCACCUCGAUGUCGGCUCAUCACAUCCUGGGGCUGAAGUAGGUCCCAAGGGUAUGGCUGUUCGCCAUUUAAAGUGGUACGCGAGCUGGGUUUAGAACGUCGUGAGACAGUUCGGUCCCUAUCUGCCGUGGGCGCUGGAGAACUGAGGGGGGCUGCUCCUAGUACGAGAGGACCGGAGUGGACGCAUCACUGGUGUUCGGGUUGUCAUGCCAAUGGCACUGCCCGGUAGCUAAAUGCGGAAGAGAUAAGUGCUGAAAGCAUCUAAGCACGAAACUUGCCCCGAGAUGAGUUCUCCCUGACUCCUUGAGAGUCCUGAAGGAACGUUGAAGACGACGACGUUGAUAGGCCGGGUGUGUAAGCGCAGCGAUGCGUUGAGCUAACCGGUACUAAUGAACCGUGAGGCUUAACCUU
rnacentral:rRNA from 1 species